CUCAGGGCCAUUUGUUCAUAACUGGCAGCAACAGCCAGAGAAAAAUCAAUACAGGAAUCAGUGUUGUGGAACAUUAUCCCUAAAUUACAGACCCACAACAACAAAGUGCCCCAGCACACUUCCUUCCCAGAAAUCAUCAGGUGCCACCCUCUGAGUGUUCCUUGUGGCUCCUGCUCUUGGCCAAGCCCCUUUCCAGCUGAUUUCCUGUUCCCACUUCAACCUUCCCCCUUCCCCCCACAUUAUUUUUAUGUGCAAACUGCUCAGCUUGAUCCUGCAAACUCAAAAAGAACAACUCAGCCUUUCCCAGACAGCUGCCCUACAGGAACAUUCAUUCCAUGACUAAAAUCAGCUAAAUUACAGGGUGAAGUCAUCACAGACAAUGAUUCCUAUGAAAACAUGUCCUGAUGGACAACUCUGCCUCAGUUUCUGUCCUGUUUUGGUGCUUGUCUGCACCUCUAGACACCUCUCAAAACUGCAAGAACAAGCAGAGUCUUCCUGCAGUGGAAUAGAGUAAAAAAGCAAUCACAUCCA
rnacentral:lncRNA from 12 species